GACGUAGGGGGCAAGCGUUGUCCGGAUUUACUGGGCGUAAAGCGCUCGUAGGCGGUCUGUUAAGUGUGAAGUGAAAUCUCCAGCGCUCAACGCGGAAACUGCUUCGCAUACUGGCAGACUUGAGGAAUGCAGAGGUUUGUAGAAUUCCUGGUGUAGCGGUGACAUGCUUAGAUAUCAGGAGGAAUACCGAUGGCGAAGGCAGCAAACUGGGCAUUAUCUGACGCUGAGGAGCGAAAGCGUGGGUAGCAAACAGG
rnacentral:rRNA from 1 species